GCGACCUACGUUGAAGGUCUGCCCAUACAAUGCUUCGAUCGGCGGGGGGAUGUAAGCGGAGGCCUACGUGUACCCGAGCAUGUUAAACAUCAGCGGACCGCUGGAGACGGGUAACCGGGCACAGAAAAGCUGGGGUCGAAAUUGGUGUAUGGAACACGGACUUGAGUAGACGCGGGGG
rnacentral:SRP_RNA from 14 species